rnacentral:rRNA from 1 species
GACGAACCGAGCGAACGUUGUUCGGAAUCACUGGGCUUAAAGGGCGCGUAGGCGGGUGCUCAAGUCUGUGGUGAAAUCCUCCAGCUUAACUGGAGAACUGCCAUGGAUACUGGGUGUCUCGAGGAAGAUAGGGGUAUGCGGAACGAUUGGUGGAGCGGUGAAAUGCGUUGAUAUCAAUCGGAACACCGAUAGCGAAGGCAGCUUGCUACACAAUCAUUGACACUGAGGCACGAAAGCGUGGGGAUCAAACAGG